UACGGAGGGUGCAAGCGUUAUCCGGAUUUACUGGGUUUAAAGGGUGUGUAGGCGGGCUAUUAAGUCAGUGGUGAAAUCUCCGGGCUCAACCCGGAAACUGCCAUUGAUACUAUUAGUCUUGAAUUCUGUUGAGGUAGGCGGAAUAAGUCAUGUAGCGGUGAAAUGCAUAGAUAUGACUUAGAACACCGAUUGCGAAGGCAGCUUGCUAAACAGAUAUUGACGCUGAGGCACGAAAGCGUGGGGAUCAAACAGG
rnacentral:rRNA from 1 species